UACGGAGGGUGCAAGUGUUAUUCGGAAUCACUGGGCGUAAAGAGCACGUAGGCGGAUAGGCAAGUCAGAUGUGAAAUCCCGGAGCUCAACUCCGGAACUGCAUUUGAUACUGCCUGUCUUGAGUGAGGUAGAGGGGAGUGGAAUUCCCGGUGUAGAGGUGAAAUUCGUAGAUAUCGGGAGGAACACCAGAGGCGAAGGCGACUCCCUGGGCCUCUACUGACGCUGAGGUGCGAAAGCGUGGGGAGGCAAACAGGAUUAGAUA
rnacentral:rRNA from 1 species